GAUGAACGCUGGCGGCGUGCCUAAUACAUGCAAGUCGAGCGAACGGACGAGAAGCUUGCUUCUCUGAUGUUAGCGGCGGACGGGUGAGUAACACGUGGAUAACCUACCUAUAAGACUGGGAUAACUUCGGGAAACCGUAGCUAAUACCGGAUAAUAUUUUGAACCGCAUGGUUCAAAAGUGAAAGACGGUCUUGCUGUCACUUAUAGAUGGAUCCGCGCUGCAUUAGCUAGUUGGUAAGGUAACGGCUUACCAAGGCAACGAUGCAUAGCCGACCUGAGAGGGUGAUCGGCGACACUGGAACUUAGACACGGUCCAGACUCCUACGGGAGGCAGCAGUAGGGAAUCUUCCGCAAUGGGCGAAAGCCUGACGGAGCAACGCCGCGUGAGUGAUGAAGGUCUUCGGAUCGGAAAACUCUGUUAUUAGGGAAGAACAUAUGUGUAAGUAACUGUGCACAUCUUGACGGUACCUAAUCAGAAAGCCACGGCUAACUACGUG
rnacentral:rRNA from 1 species